CCUACGGGUGGCAGCAGUCGAGAAUCAUUCACAAUGGGGGAAACCCUGAUGGUGCGACGCCGCGUGGGGGAAUGAAGGUCUUCGGAUUGUAAACCCCUGUCAUGUGGGAGCAAAUUAAAAAGAUAGUACCACACGAGGAAGAGACGGCUAACUCUGUUCCAGCAGCCGCGGUAAUACAGAGGUCUCAAGCGUUGUUCGGAAUCACUGGGCGUAAAGCGUGCGUAGGCUGUUUCGUAAGUCGUGUGUGAAGGGCGCGGGCUCAACCCGCGGACGGCACAUGAUACUGCGAGACUAGAGUAAUGGAGGGGGAACCGGAAUUCUCGGUGUAGCAGUGAAAUGCGUAGAUAUCGAGAGGAACACUCGUGGCGAAGGCGGGUUCCUGGACAUUAACUGACGCUGAGGCACGAAGGCCAGGGGAGCGAAAGGGAUUAGAUACCCGAGUAGUC
rnacentral:rRNA from 1 species